GAACGGUUCCAGCAUUAGUUGCAGGAGGACAAGUCGCUAUAAUCGUUGACUCACUCCACGAAAAAGUUACAGCAGCUGGGUUGUCACCAAAUAAACAGACUAAUCCAUUAAAAAAGUUCGCGCCAAGAAUUGUAACUUCAUAACCUCCCAUGAUUGAACCCUUAUUAGGAAUAAUCCGAGAUAUUAAGGGAGCAUGUGAAACAUCAGGUGGAGUCAUGUUUAUAAAAGAAGAAUCAACAUUUUCUUUUAUCGGCGUACUUACAAAAUCAGGUUUAGCAACCUCAUCAAAUUGUGUAAGCAAGUUGUUGACACUACUUUUUUCUUCAACGGAAAACGAGAAAUCAUCUGUACAGUAAGGGAAUGGGGCUAUUGGGGCACUUUCAUUUGUAUGGGCUUCAAGCACUCCUUCCUCUUGCUGUUGUCUUUGUUGGAAACCAGCGGCAUCGCUGGGAACUCGAACAACAUGGAAACCAUUCUUUGAAAUGGAAGGACUUACGCCGCUUGGGGUAGUCAUACUCAGCACAGAAGGGGAUUUGCUCAUACUAAAGGCUGAGCCCUCAACACUUUUCAAAGUGCUUUUCGAAUUAGGUGAAUGCGAGUCACUAGCAGAUAGUUGUAUGUCGAGUGCUCUAGAAUUUUCACUCGAGGAUGUUCGACGACGCUUUUCAUUUGGUGGAUUAUCUGAACGGGUAGGGAAACCAGUGACAAGAUUGGGGACAGUAUUGCUUUUAGAAAGAACAUGGUUUGAAGGAGCUUGUUGAGAAUUGCUCUUACCAGUCUUUUCUGAUUUCGUAAGAUUUCUACUUUUAUGAUCAUCAAGAACGGUAACAGGCUCUGGAAAAACAAGACGAUCCACCAAACGUGACAUGGAGUAUAAGUCCCAUAUGAUGUGAAAGUAAGGGCAUGAUUGAUGAGACGAGUAACAUGUAAUCCGUGCAUUGAUGUGAGCAACUCUUUCAUUUCCAUCCAAUUGCAAACGAACGUACUCAGGUCCAGUAAAAACCAUUAUCAUUCUAUCUUCAUCUAUGUCUUCAAGUUUGGGAAAUUGAUUUAAGAGCUUGAUCCUGAACUGCUGCUUUUCUUCGGGAGAGGCAUCAGUCAUGUUACGCUCAUAAGCCUUCAGUUUAGUAUAGUUAGGCAUACAAGCAUCCUUUGUUGCUUGAGAUCGAGCAUUGCGCUUCCUUUCUCGAAGUAAACAGCGAGUACAGCAAGUCUUAACAACUGAGCUUUUGUCACCUGCAAGAACGGUAGGUACAAGAUGAAUGACGGUCUCCGGAUCGGGUUGCAAAGGCUGAGGUUUCGAAGAACGCUUUUUGUCUUCACGGUGAGCCCAACUUGGCAAGCGAAGAUAUUCAAACGGAACACUUUGAUUAUCGUUGCUCUUGAUCCGCAACUCAAAAAGCAUGUUAGUUUCCACCCGAGAUUUCCAUUUGUGCUCAUUGAUAGCUGGUAAAUGAUUAACUGAGAACGCGUACUCCUUAUUAGAAAGAGGCGGUGCAGACGUAUUUAAAGAGGAAAAUGCAUAAUCUUCGGCAUAUGGCGUAAGAGUAUUAAUAGAUUCGUUGAAGGGAGUUUCCAACAUGGUAAUCGGCUGUCUAAACUGUAAUGGAUCUUCGAUGGCGCCCGAUGACUUUACAGAAUUAAAUCCAGCUUCAUAAGGUGCUUGUUUCAUAGGAUCCAUUUUUAAAAGAUAAACAUCCGACUCUCCAAACAUGGGAUUAUCUCCCAAAGGUUGAUCAACGGUAUUAGCUAGAAAAUUAGCAUCAGAAAUAGAAUGUUGCGGAGUAGGAAACACCGUUCUGUUCAAAUGCAAACUAGGAUUGAUGUAGUCUUGCUGACGAUCAGACGGUAAACAUUCCGCUUCAUCUUGUGAAUUCGAUAAGUUAGGUGAACUGGCAUGGGAUAAAGACGGAGGAGCUAUACUAGGCAAAUUUAGACCUUGAUCCGGCAAUCCAUCGAAGUUAAAAAAUUCACGCAUUUCUGCAUCGCCGUUUCCGGCUUUUUCAAAAUCGGGAGAGGAAAACAUAUAAUCAUCAGAGGAAGACCUCCCCUCCUCUGAACUAAAUUUCAUGAGCUUGUUUACUUCCCAAGUUCCUUCUUCCUUAGUCGAAUUCUCGG